UCUGGACAGCUUACAUAUCCUUUUCAUCGUUAUAAGAGCAUCAAGGAACCGAAAUACAUGUCGAGCAUAUGACAUCAGUAAUUGUGCUCCACAGUCUGUCUGAUGACUAUCCAUCAAAGCACAACUGAAACACACAACACCCACAUCACCACACAAGAAGGUGAACUUCUCCAACACCACAAAGGAACUAACGCAGGACGCCAACACCAGUAAAGAAACGAACGAAAAUAUACAACAUCCACACAAACACAGAGCACAUUGGCGCCCCACAUCAGCGCAAACUUCCGCCCAUGCUACAACAUAGACUCCACAGUACAUAAAGCCCCAAGCCCAAUCCAAUGCAGGCGAGAACGCAACAACAUAACUGUCUGCACACGCUGCAGCGCAGCCCCACAGCCCUAUUUGCUGCCGCAAAAC
rnacentral:lncRNA from 1 species